rnacentral:rRNA from 1 species
CCUACGGGAUGCAGCAGUGGGGAAUAUUGGGCAAUGGAGGAAACUCUGACCCAGCAACGCCGCGUGAAUGAUGAAGGCCUUCGGAUUGUAAAGUUCUUUUCUUAGGGAAGAAGAAAGUGACGGUACCUUAGGAAUAAGCCUCGGUUAACUACGUGCCAGCACCCGCGGUAAUACGUAGGAGGCGAGCGUUAUCCGGAAUGACUGGGCGUAAAGGGUGCGUAGGUGGUUUGGCAAGUUAGUAGCGUAACUCCAAGGCUCAACCUUGGAACUACUGCUAAAACUGUUGGACGUGAGUGCAGGAGGGGCAGGCGGAAUUCCUAGUGUAGCGGUGGAAUGCGUAGAUAUUAGGAGGAACACCAGUGGCGAAGGCGGGUUGCUGGACUGUAACUGACGCUGAGGCACGAAAGCGUGGGGAGCAAACAGGAUUAGAUACCCCUGUAGUC